rnacentral:rRNA from 1 species
ACUCCUACGGGAGGCAGCAGUGGGGAAUCUUAGACAAUGGGCGCAAGCCUGAUCUAGCCAUGCCGCGUGAGUGAUGAAGGCCCUAGGGUCGUAAAGCUCUUUCGCCUGUGAUGAUAAUGACAGUAGCAGGUAAAGAAACCCCGGCUAACUCCGUGCCAGCAGCCGCGGUAAUACGGAGGGGUUAGCGUUGUUCGGAAUUACUGGGCGUAAAGCGCACGUAGGCGGAUCAGAAAGUUGGGGUGAAAUCCCGGGGCUCAACCCCGGAACUGCCUCCAAAACUCCUGGUCUUGAGUUCGAGAGAGGUGAGUGGAAUUCCGAGUGUAGAGGUGAAAUUCGUAGAUAUUCGGAGGAACACCAGUGGCGAAGGCGGCUCACUGGCUCGAUACUGACGCUGAGGUGCGAAAGUGUGGGGAGCAAACAGGAUUAGAUACCCUGGUAGGCGUAG